AUACUUACCCGGCAGGGGAGAUACCAUGAUCACGAAGGUGGUUUUCCCAGGGCGAGCUUAUCCAUUGCACUCUGCAUCCGGCCCCUGCUGUUUCCCCAAAUGUGGGAAACUCGAUUGCAUAAUUUGUGAUGGUGGGAAACUCAUUUGCGGUCUCCCCU